GAUGAACGCUGGCGGCGUGCUUAACACAUGCAAGUCGAACGGAAAGGCCGAGGCUUGCUUCGGUACUCGAGUGGCGAACGGGUGAGUAACACGUGGGUGAUCUGCCCUGUACUUCGGGAUAAGCUUGGGAAACUGGGUCUAAUACCGGAUAUGACGAUCUCUUGGAUGGGGUUGUGGAAAGCUUUUGCGGUAUGGGAUGAGCUCGCGGCCUAUCAGCUUGUUGGUGGGGUAAUGGCCUACCAAGGCGUCGACGGGUAGCCGGCCUGAGAGGGUGUACGGCCACAUUGGGACUGAGAUACGGCCCAGACUCCUACGGGAGGCAGCAGUGGGGAAUAUUGCACAAUGGGCGCAAGCCUGAUGCAGCGACGCCGCGUGGGGGAUGACGGCCUUCGGGUUGUAAACUCCUUUCGCAAUCGACGAAGCCUUUUGGUGACGGUAGGUUGAGAAGAAGCACCGGCUAACUACGUG
rnacentral:rRNA from 1 species